GAAGAGGGCAAAGCAGUAGUGUUCAGAGGCAGACUGAGUGUGUUGGGUAUAGCUGACAGCUCUGGCCAACGCAAUCCCUAGAACUCUUCCUAGAACCCACCCUGAUGCAUCCUGGAUGGACUCCUGCUUUUAAGGUACUAGCCAGAGUUUUAUCCACAGAGGACCUCUGGAUCCCAAGAGACAACUCCAAUCCAUCCCCAAAUCCUCCAGGCUUGUACCACUGCAUUGACUGAAAAGGGAGGGAGCACAGGUCAUCUGUAGGAGCAAGUGAAAGUAACAAAAUGCAAGUGUUAUUAGCAAACACACUGAAAGCAUUCUACAGCAGAAGGGGACCAAAAAUGCAUGUAAGAGGAGAAAAAAUGCCAUUGCCUCAGAAGAGAAGGAAAAAAAGAGACUUCCAUCUGCAGAGCUGGCGACUGAUCCUGUUUCACAAGAGCCCAAUGAAUCAAGAAAGACCCUGAGAACCUACCCUGGAAGAAACUAGCUGGCAGGGAAGGAACAGGACUACGGCGUUACUUCUUCCCUAUUCCCUUUUGGAAGCUCAAAUACAGCUGUUCCUUACAGGAGCAGGAAAUAUUCAGGAACAGAAUACCAAAAUAAAUAAAUAAAAUAUAGAAGA